rnacentral:rRNA from 1 species
UACGAAGGGGGCUAGCGUUGCUCGGAAUCACUGGGCGUAAAGGGUGCGUAGGCGGCCCGUUAAGUCAGUGGUGAGAGCCUCCAGCUCAACUGGAGAACUGCCAUUGAUACUGACGGGCUUGAGUACAGACGAGGUUGGCGGAAUUGAUUGUGUAGCGGUGAAAUGCAUAGAUACAAUCAAGAACUCCGAUUGCGUAGGCAGCUAACUAGGCUGUAACUGACGGCUGGAGGCACGAAAGCCGUGGGGAGCAAACGGG